AACAAUGCUCGCCCCUAUUUACGUGAAGAGGUACGUAUAAAUCCUGACCUAAAUUUUCAAAGAUUAAACACGAUUAUUCAACGUGCCUCCGGCUUUAUCUCCACCGGCUAUAUAUAGUGGACAUUGUCCCAUUGAAGGCCACAGCAUAGUGUGUGUACUAGUUAAUCCAUGCAGCAGUAGUAAAAGAAGAUGAGCUUGCCAGUGACCUAUGUAGAGGGUUUCCAUGAUGUGGACUUGGUGAAGAAGAUGCAAUAUGUACAGCUGGGAAAAACUGACAUGCAUGUGUCACGGCUCAGCUUAGGCACUUCUGCAUUUGGUAGUGUUUUUCGUCAG